GGAGCCGUAGCGAAAGCGAGUUUUAACUGAGCGUUCAGUUACUUGACGUAGACCCGAAACCGGGCGACCUACCCAUGAGCAGGAUGAAGCGAAAGUAAAAUUUCGUGGAGGUCCGAACCCACGAGCGUUGAAAAGCUCGGGGAUGACUUGUGGGUAGCGGUGAAAUUCCAAUCGAGCCCGGAGAUAGCUGGUUCUCCCCGAAAUAGCUUUAGGGCUAGCCUCAAGGUGAGAGAUACGGAGGUAGAGCACUGAAUGUCCUAGGGGGUAUUGCACCUACCGAAGACUAUCAAACUCCGAAUGCCGUCAUCUUAUACUUGGGAGUCAGACUGUGGGUGAUAAGAUUCAUAGUCGAAAGGGCAACAGCCCAGAUCGUCAGCUAAGGUCCCUAAAUGUAAGUUAAGUGGUAAAGGAUGUGGGAUUGCACAGACAACCAGGAUGUUGGCUUAGAAGCAGCCACUCAUUCAAAGAGUGCGUAAUAGCUCACUGGUCGAGUGAUCCUGCGCCGAAGAUUUCCGGGGCUAAAACUUACUACCGAAGCUACGGCAUCAGUAAUGAUGGGUAGGGGAGCUUCCCAUACGGGUUGAAGCAUGACCGUAAGGACAUGUGGACAGUAUGGGAGUGAGAAUGUUGGCAUGAGUAGCGAGAUGUGGGUGAGAAUCCCACAGGCCGUAAACCCAAGGUUUCCAGGGGAAGGUUCGUCCGCCCUGGGUUAGUCGGGACCUAAGCUGAGGCCGAAAGGCGUAGGUGAUGGACAACAGGUUGAUAUUCCUGUACUACCGAUAACCGUUUGAGAGAAGGGAUGACACAGUAGGAUAAGCUAAGCACACUGUUGGUUAUGUGUGCCCAAGCAUUGAGGCAGUCAAAGUAGGCAAAUCCGCUUUGAUAAUGCUGGGAUGUGAUGGGGAGCGAAAUUUAGUAGCGAAGUAGCUGAUUUCACACUGUCAAGAAAAGUCUCUAUCGAGGUUAAAGGUACCCGUACCGCAAACCGACACAGGUGGGUGAGGAGAGUAUCCUAAGGCCAGCGAGAGAACUGUUGUUAAGGAACUCGGCAAAAUGACCCCGUAACUUAGGGAUAAGGGGUGCCACCAUCAGGUGGCCGCAGAGAAUAGGCCCAAGCGACUGUUUACCAAAAACAUAGGUUUCUGCUAAGUCGCAAGACGAUGUAUAGGAGCUGACGCCUGCCCGGUGCUGGAAGGUUAAGGGGAUCUGUUAGAGCAAUCGAAGCAGUGAACUUAAGCCCCAGUAAACGGCGGCCGUAACUAUAACGGUCCUAAGGUAGCGAAAUUCCUUGUCGGGUAAGUUCCGACCCGCACGAAAGGCGUAACGAUUUGGGCACUGUCUCAACAACAGACUCGGUGAAAUUGUAAUUCCGGUGAAGAUGCCGGAUACCUGCGACAGGACGGAAAGACCCCAUGGAGCUUUACUGUAGCUUGACAUUGGGUCUUGGUACUACAUGUACAGGAUAGGUGGGAGGCUUUGAAACCAGGACGCCAGUUUUGGCGGAGCCAUCCUUGGGAUACCACCCUUGUAGUACUGGGACUCUAACCAUAGGCCAUGAAUCUGGUCUUGGGACACUGUCAGGUGGGCAGUUUGACUGGGGCGGUCGCCUCCCAAAAGGUAACGGAGGCGCUCAAAGGUUCUCUCAGUACGGUCGGAAAUCGUACGUAGAGUGUAAAGGCAAAAGAGAGCUUGAUUGCAAGACAUACAGGUCGAGCAAGGAUGAAAAUCGGACUUAGUGAUCCGGUGGUUCUGCGUGGAAGGGCCAUCGCUCAACGGAUAAAAGCUACCCUGGGGAUAACAGGCUUAUCUCCCCCAAGAGUCCACAUCGACGGGGAGGUUUGGCACCUCGAUGUCGGCUCAUCACAUCCUGG
rnacentral:rRNA from 1 species